UACGUAGGGGGCAAGCGUUGUCCGGAAUCAUUGGGCGUAAAGAGCGUGUAGGCGGCUCGGUAAGUCCGCUGUGAAAGUCCAGGGCUCAACCCUGGAAUGCCGGUGGAAACUGUCGAGCUAGAGUCCGGAAGAGGCGAGUGGAAUUCCUGGUGUAGCGGUGAAAUGCGCGGAUAUCAGGAGGAACACCAAUGGCGAAGGCAGGUCUCUGGGCUGACACUGACGCUCAUGCACGAAAGCGUGGGGAGCAAACAGG
rnacentral:rRNA from 1 species